GACUCAGGGUUUUCACGAGAGAAAAACAUCAAGACAUUCUCUGUGAGUCAAGACACGCAUGCCCUUGUGAGAAAAGAAACUAGAAAAUCUAUGAUUGAUGAGAAAGAAUGUCUAGUGUACUUAUGCAGGCAGUAACUUAAGAUUUCAUCGCAACGAAAUGUAUGGACAGCUGAACUGGUUCUUGGUUAGACGGGAUUCCUUCUCUGGCAGACAUUGAAGAAGGAAAUUUAUUAGUACAUGAUUUCAGUAAUCUAGAGGUUUCUGAAUCGGAAGGCGAAAGUGAUUAAGAGUGUCUUUGAGUUCCAGCACAAUGUAUGUGGCCGUUCUAUAUAUGCCGAGGGAACUAUUGAUGCUGCCAUAUUUCUGUCGAAAAAGGUGCAGUCCAAGGCUGAUAAGAAAAUAUACGACAUGAUUGAUGUAUUGAGAGAAGGCAACAUGCGAUAAGUUCUACUUUUGACAUUUGCUUUCUACAAUUAAUUAGUAUGAUUGCAUUUGGAGCUGAAGUUGCUGUUGUUGCUGAUGCAAUUCUUGUUGCUGCUGCAGCUGUUGAAGAUGAUGUUGCUCCUCUAACCUGAAGUUUCAAAAAUUGCUCCAACUCUGGCAUAUACUGGUUAACUGACUGUUGAUGCUGCAGAGAACCUUGAAUUUGUUCAAUAAAUGGCACAGACGAAUUCUGACGAGAAAGCAAGCGCUGCUGCUAAAGCUGUUGUUGGUGCUGCUGUUGCUGCUGCUGUUGCUAAAGUUGCUGAAGUUGCUGAAGCUGCUGCUGCCGAAGCAGUUGUUGCUGAUGCUGCAGAGAACCUUGAAUUUGUGAGCUAGUAGUACGUCUAUAACUGCAGUUAUUUUGGUUGAUUUUGGUUGAUUCUGUAAUAUGUUUAUACUGUUUCCUUGCGUUGUGAUUAUUGUCAGUCGCAGCAUUGUCAAUUUGGGGGCUAAGAUUUACUUUCUCGUAAAAUCCCUCUCUUUUGAUCUUUGUUUCCUGGUCUUUUCUUUCUUCUGUCAUGAUCCUGUUCAUGCCUGAACAUUUGAAAGAUGGGAAAUAAGUAGACUAUGGUUGUGCUACUAUUUUGUUUA